rnacentral:rRNA from 1 species
GACGAACGCUGGCGGCGUGCUUAACACAUGCAAGUCAGGGGGCUCAGCAAUGGGUCACCGGCGAACGGGUGCGUAACACGUGAGCAACCUGCCCAAGUGUGGGGAUAGCCGGCCCAACGGCCGGGUAAUACCGCAUACGCUUCCUAGGGGCAUUCCCAGGGAGGAAACCUUCGGGGCACAUGAGGGGCUCGCGACUUAUCAGCUAGUUGGUGAGGUAAUGGCUCACCAAGGCGUACGACGGGUAGCUGGUCUGAGAGGAUGGCCAGCCACAUUGGGACUGAGACA